GAUGAACGCUAGCGGCAGGCCUAAUACAUGCAAGUCGAACGGGAUUAAGAGGCUUGCUUCUUAUGAGAGUGGCGCACGGGUGCGUAACACGUAUGCAACCUACCUUCAACAGGGGGAUAGCCUUCCGAAAGGGAGAUUAAUACCGCAUAACAUAAUUGAACGGCAUCGUUUGAUUAUCAAACUUACAAGGGUUGAAGAUGGGCAUGCGUCCGAUUAGUUAGUUGGGGAGGUAACGGCUCACCAAGGCAUCGAUCGGUAGGGGAUCUGAGAGGAUGACCCCCCACACUGGUACUGAGACACGGACCAGACUCCUACGGGAGGCAGCAGUAAGGAAUAUUGGUCAAUGGACGGAAGUCUGAACCAGCCAUGCCGCGUGCAGGAAGACGGUCCUCUGGAUUGUAAACUGCUUUUGUUAGGGAAGAAACCCUCGUAUGCGUACGAGGCUGACGGUACCUAAAGAAUAAGGAUCGGCUAACUCCGUGCCAGCCGCCGCGGUAAGAC
rnacentral:rRNA from 1 species